rnacentral:rRNA from 1 species
CAGCCGUAAACUAUGCUCGCUAGGUGUCAGGCAUGGCGCGACCGUGUCUGGUGCCGCAGGGAAGCCGUGAAGCGAGCCACCUGGGAAGUACGGCCGCAAGGCUGAACUUAAGGAAUUGGCGGGGGAGCACAACAACGGGUGGAGCCUGCGGUUUAAUUGGACUCAACGCCGGACAACUCACCGGGGGACGACAGCAAUAUGUAGGCCAGGCUGAAGACCUUGCCUGAAUCGCUGAGAGGAGGUGCAUGGCGUAGACGUCU